GAUGAACGCUGGCGGCGUGCCUAAUACAUGCAAGUUGAGCGAACAGACGAGGAGCUUGCUCCUCUGACGUUAGCGGCGGACGGGUGAGUAACACGUGGAUAACCUACCUAUAAGACUGGGAUAACUUCGGGAAACCGGAGCUAAUACCGGAUAAUAUAUUGAACCGCAUGGUUCAAUAGUGAAAGACGGUUUUGCUGUCACUUAUAGAUAGAUCCGCGCCGCAUUAGCUAGUUGGUAAGGUAACGGCUUACCAAGGCGACGAUGCGUAGCCGACCUGAGAGGGUGAUCGGCCACACUGGAACUGAGACACGGUCCAGACUCCUACGGGAGGCAGCAGUAGGGAAUCUUCCGCAAUGGGCGAAAGCCUGACGGAGCAACGCCGCGUGAGUGAUGAAGGUCUUCGGAUCGUAAAACUCUGUUAUUAGGGAAGAACAAAUGUGUAAGUAACUAUGCACGUCUUGACGGUACCUAAUCAGAAAGCCACGGCUAACUACGUG
rnacentral:rRNA from 1 species